rnacentral:rRNA from 1 species
UGGGGAAUAUUGCACAAUGGGGGAAACCCUGAUGCAGCAACGCCGCGUGAGCGAUGAAGGCCUUCGGGUUGUAAAGCUCUGUCUUCGCUGACGAUAAUGACGGUAAGCGAGGAGGAAGCCACGGCUAACUACGUGCCAGCAGCCGCGGUAAUACGUAGGUGGCAAGCGUUGUCCGGAAUUACUGGGCGUAAAGGAUGCGUAGGCGGUUUCUUAAGUGGGAUGUGAAAUGCCGGGGCUUAACCCCGGAGUUGCAUUCCAUACUGGGAGACUAGAGUGCAGGAGAGGAAAGCGGAAUUCCCAGUGUAGCGGUGAAAUGCGUAGAGAUUGGGAGGAACACCAGUGGCGAAGGCGGCUUUCUGGACUGUAACUGACGCUGAGGCAUGAAAGUGUGGGGAGCAAACAGG